UUUGACAAUUUGAUGUCUUUGUGGUAGUGUUUGAAAGAAGGUUCUGUUAAUGCAAACCCUGCGUUGACAACCUUCUUCCGCAACGUUUUGUCUUUGAUCUACCGCAUGAAAUUUUGAGCGAUAUGUCUAAUGCAGCAGACAUGCGUUAAAGGAGGAUCCUGCCAGUCAAUAUCAAUAUUUUUAUAGGUACUCACUAUUGAAGGGUGUCUAUCUGAGAUCAAACAUAAGUUAGGAUGAGGAGCAACGUGUAAUCAGAGAUUUUUUAGGAAAAAAGCUUUA
rnacentral:lncRNA from 1 species